rnacentral:rRNA from 1 species
UGGGGAAUAUUGCACAAUGGGCGCAAGCCUGAUGCAGCCAUGCCGCGUGUGUGAAGAAGGCCUUCGGGUUGUAAAGCACUUUCAGCGGGGAGGAAGGCGAUAAGGUUAAUAACCUUGUCGAUUGACGUUACCCGCAGAAGAAGCACCGGCUAACUCCGUGCCAGCAGCCGCGGUAAUACGGAGGGUGCAAGCGUUAAUCGGAAUUACUGGGCGUAAAGCGCACGCAGGCGGUCUGUCAAGUCGGAUGUGAAAUCCCCGGGCUCAACCUGGGAACUGCAUUCGAAACUGGCAGGCUUGAGUCUUGUAGAGGGGGGUAGAAUUCCAGGUGUAGCGGUGAAAUGCGUAGAGAUCUGGCGGAAUACCGGUGGCGAAGGCGGCCCCCUGGACGAAGACUGACGCUCAGGUGCGAAAGCGUGGGGAGCAAACAGG